GGAGGGAUGGCUGAGUGGUUGAAGGCAGCGGUCUUGAAAACCGCCAUACGUUUACGCGUAUCGAGGGUUCGAAUCCCUCUCCCUCCG
rnacentral:tRNA from 1 species